GACGAACGCUGGCGGCGUGCUUAACACAUGCAAGUCGAACGAUGAAGCCGGAGCUUGCUCUGGUGAAUUAGUGGCGAACGGGUGAGUAACACGUGAGUAACCUGCCCUUGACUCUGGGAUAACUGCGGGAAACUGUAGCUAAUACCGGAUACGACCCUCGGAGGCAUCUCCUGGGGGUGGAAAGAAUUUCGGUCAAGGAUGGACUCGCGGCCUAUCAGCUAGUUGGUGAGGUAAAGGCUCACCAAGGCGACGACGGGUAGCCGGCCUGAGAGGGUGACCGGCCACACUGGGACUGAGACACGGCCCAGACUCCGACGGGAGGCAGCAGUGGGGAAUAUUGCACAAUGGGCGCAAGCCUGAUGCAGCAACGCCGCGUGAGGGAUGACGGCCUUCGGGUUGUAAACCUCUUUUAGCAGGGAAGAAGCGAAAGUGACGGUACCCGCAGAAAAAGCACCGGCUAACUACGUGCCAGCAGCCGCGGUAA
rnacentral:rRNA from 1 species